rnacentral:rRNA from 1 species
UGGGGAAUAUUGCACAAUGGGCGCAAGCCUGAUGCAGCCAUGCCGCGUGUAUGAAGAAGGCCUUCGGGUUGUAAAGUACUUUCAGUCGGGAGGAAGGUGUCAAGGUUAAUAACCUUGGCAAUUGACGUUACCGACAGAAGAAGCACCGGCUAACUCCGUGCCAGCAGCCGCGAUAAUACGUAGGGUGCAAGCGUUAAUCGGAAUUACUGGGCGUAAAGCGCACGCAGGCGGUUGAUUGAGUCAGAUGUGAAAUCCCCGGGCUUAACCCGGGAAUUGCAUCUGAUACUGGUCAGCUAGAGUCUUGUAGAGGGGGGUAGGAUUCCAUGUGUAGCGGUGAAAUGCGUAGAGAUGUGGAGGAAAACCGGUGGCGAAGGCGGACACCUGGACAAAGACUGACGCUCAGGUGCGAAAGAGUGGGGAGCAAACAGG